CCACGCUCUCUGACACGUAUAUGUAAAGAGCCUCACUAUACCUCUAGCUAUGCCUUACCUAUACAGUGCAGCCCACUGUCCCACUAUCUGAAUUCAAAUGACACUAUAUGGAUUUUUCUCUCAAGCGCGCCCACGAAUACGCGUUCACGUUUGGCAGCUCCACGUCGACAUUCUUCCAGCUGUGCACAGGGCUGAAAGAAGAAGAGGUAAAAGCGGCGUGAAGCCAGCUAUACGAACACUGUAUGUAGGCUCCAACGAGGGACGUCAACCGCGAAAUGGUGAAGAGGAAAAUCUCCUGGUUUUUUUUACAGUUAGUCCUGCAACAAUUGUAUAUAGCCCACUGUUUUUUGUUGUUGCAUUUUAUGAUCUUUUUGCCCUCGUGCUGGAUUGCAGCUGGCCCCCUUUAACAGCUCUCACUUCUGCCAGGUGAAGGAGUGGUGAAAUGGGUUGGCACAAAGGAAUAGCCUACGAUGUGGCACUCUGGCUUUCCAAGUAAAGUUCUGUGAUACACUUCGACUCUAAUUGUUUGCAGUCAGUGCAUUACAGAACUUUGUUUUGGGAGUUAAUGCUCCGGCCUGCGGGAAACAAACCUACCAUCUGGAGAGUGGAACCAUUAUUUCACAUGCCACUUGCAGACUGCAAAAGGGAGAAUAAAGUUUUUAUUUUGACAAUGA